rnacentral:rRNA from 1 species
CCUACGGGAGGCAGCAGUGGGGAAUAUUGCACAAUGGGCGGAAGCCUGAUGCAGCGACGCCGCGUGAGGGAUGACGGCCUUCGGGUUGUAAACCUCUUUCAGCAGGGAAGAAGCGUGAGUGACGGUACCUGCAGAAGAAGCACCGGNUAACUACGUGCCAGCAGCCGCGGUAAU